rnacentral:rRNA from 1 species
UGUUAAAGCUGGCCACUGAUAUAAGCUAGUACCUGUAGAUGGGCUUGCGUUUCAUUAGUUAGUUGGUGGGGUAAUGGCUCACCAAGGCGACGAUGGAUAGCCGGCCUGAGAGGGUGAUCGGCCACACUGGGACUGAGAUACGGCCCAGACUCCUACGGGAGGCAGCAGUGAGGAAUAUUGCGCAAUGGCAGAAAUGCUGACGCAGCAACGCCGCGUGAGGGAUGAAGCUUUUCGGAGUGUAAACCUUUGUUAGGAGGGACGAACGGGCAUAAUACGAAUAGGGUUAUGCCGUGACGGUACCUCCAGAGGAAGCCCCGGCUAACUCCGUGCCAGCAGCCGCGGUAAUACGGGGGGGGCAAGCGUUGUCCGGAAUCAUUGGGCGUAAAGGGCGCGUAGGCUGACAGGUCAGUCUGUGGUGCAAUCUUGUGGCUUAACCGUAAGUUUGCCAUGGAAACUACCUGUCUUGAGAUCGGAAGGGGGAAGCGGAAUUCCUGGUGUAGCGGUGAAAUGCGUAGAUCUCAGGAAGAACACCGGUGGCGAAGGCGGCUUCCCUGGUCCGAGACUGACGCUUGAUGCGCGAAAGCGUGGGGAGCGAACAGGAUUAGAUACCCUGGUAGUCCACGCUGUAAACGAUGGGCACUAGGUGUUGGGCGUCAAGUUCAGCGCCGGAGCAAACGCAUUAAGUGCCCCGCCUGGGGAAUACGAUCGCAAGAUUGAAACUCAAAGGAAUUGACGGGGGCCCGCACAAGCGGUGGAGCAUGUGGUUUAAUUCGAUGCAACGCGAAGAACCUUACCUGGGCUUGAACUGCAGAGGCACGUACCCUGAAAGGGGUAUUUCCUUCGGGACUUCUGUAGAGGUGCUGCAUGGCUGUCGUCAGCUCGUGCCGUGAGGUGUUGGGUUAAGUCCCGCAACGAGCGCAACCCUUGCUCUUAGUUGCCAUCAGGUAAAGCUGGGCACUCUAAGGGGACUGUCCCGGAUAACGGGGAGGAAGGUGGGGAUGACGUCAAGUCAUCAUGGCCCUUACGUCCAGGGCUACACACGUGCUACAAUGGCCGGUACAACGGGAAGCGAGACCGUGAGGUGGAGCCAAUCCCUUAAAACCGGUUUCAGUUCAGAUUGUAGUCUGCAACUCGACUGCAUGAAGUUGGAAUCGCUAGUAAUCGCGGAU